AGCGAACGCUGGCGGCAGGCUUAACACAUGCAAGUCGAGCGCCCCGCAAGGGGAGCGGCAGACGGGAUAGUAACACGUGGGAACGUACCCUUCAGUUCGGAACAACCCAGGGAAACUUGGGCUAAUACCGAAUACGUCCGUAAGGAGAAAGAUUUAUCGCUGAAGGAUCGGCCCGCGUCUGAUUAGCUAGUUGGUGAGGUAACGGCUCACCAAGGCGACGAUCAGUAGCUGGUCUGAGAGGAUGAUCAGCAUCACUGGGACUGAGACACGGCCCAGACUCCUACGGGAGGCAGCAGUGGGGAAUAUUGGACAAUGGGCGCAAGCCUGAUCCAGCCAUGCCGCGUGGAUGAUGAAGGCCUUAGGGUUGUAAAGUCCUUUUAACGGGGAAGAUAAUGACGGUACCCGUAGAAUAAGCCCCGGCUAACUUCGUGCCAGCCGCCGCUGUAAAAC
rnacentral:rRNA from 1 species